GAAAUUUCAAAAAUACAAGAUUCAAAAUUCCUUCACGGACUACAUUAGCUCGUGACAUUGGAGCUCUUUAUGCUGAAGAGAAGAUGAAGUUGCAAGAUUUUCUCUCAGCAAAUUGUGGUAGAGUAUGUCUAACAACUGACACUUGGACUUUAAUUCAAAAUUUUACUUAUAUGAG